AGAUAUUGAAUCGCGAAAUUGCUCUUGCCACGGCAGCUAUAUAUGACUCCAUGUUCGCCACAGAGGACGGAACUAUACCUGCUACUUUUCAGGUGAUUUACAUGACGGGAUGGAGAGAACACUCUUCUCAACCACAGGCCAAGAGGAGAGGUUCAGACAUCCAGAGGACCAGAAGCAAUUGGGUGCUGUAUCUUGAAGGGACGUUCAGGAAAAAACAGAGGCUUUACAAAAGAGACUGGGAGAAUCAGUGACUAACCGACGUCGUACUAUGUAUUUUUGUAUCGAAUAAUAAUACAAUAUCAGGCAUGUUUGAUUAGUGUUCACUGUUCAGUGUUCCACACACACACACAAAAAAUAGUGUUCAGUAAAUCAAUAGGCAGUAAUUAGGCGAUUUAUAAGAGAUUAUUGAUUAGGCCAUUGUUUAGAACCUUUUUUGAACGCUUAGACCAAAAUUUUUAAUAUAUUAGUCUAGAAAAAAAUUGUUUCAUUUUAAAUAAGGGAUUAGCUCCCUAGAGACCAAUUUUAGAA